rnacentral:rRNA from 1 species
UACAGAGGUCUCAAGCGUUGUUCGGAUUCAUUGGGCGUAAAGGGUGCGUAGGUGGCGGGGUAAGUCGGAUGUGAAAUCCCGGGGCUCAACCCCGGAACUGCAUUCGAUACUGCCUUGCUCGAGUACUGGAGAGGAGAUUGGAAUUUACGGUGUAGCAGUGAAAUGCGUAGAUAUCGUAAGGAACACCGGUGGCGAAGGCGGGUCUCUGGGCCGUAACUGACGCUGAGGAGCGAAAGCGUGGGGAGCGAACAGG